rnacentral:rRNA from 1 species
ACGAACGCUGGCGGCAUGCCUCACACAUGCAAGUCGAACGAGACCUUCGGGUCUAGUGGCGCACGGGUGCGUAACGCGUGGGAAUCUGCCCUUGGGUUCGGAAUAACAGUUGGAAACGACUGCUAAUACCGGAUGAUGACGUAAGUCCAAAGAUUUAUCGCCCAAGGAUGAGCCCGCGUAGGAUUAGCUAGUUGGUGAGGUAAAGGCUCACCAAGGCGACGAUCCUUAGCUGGUCUGAGAGGAUGAUCAGCCACACUGGGACUGAGACACGGCCCAGACUCCUACGGGAGGCAGCAGUGGGGAAUAUUGGACAAUGGGCGAAAGCCUGAUCCAGCAAUGCCGCGUGAGUGAUGAAGGCCUUAGGGUUGUAAAGCUCUUUUACCCGGGAUGAUAAUGACAGUACCGGGAGAAUAAGCUCCGGCUAACUCCGUG